UGUCCCCUUAUGCUUGCAGCCUGCAAAAAUCGAGAGAGAGGGCAUGCUAGCUGCAGCCUGCAGAUCAGCAACGUCGUAGGUUUGAGAGCGUGCGUGCGUAGGCUCAAAAGUCUGCUGGCUUACAACAUCUGCUAUAUUACAGCCAGCAGCGUGCGUGCUCUUGAUAUUUACUAAAUAGUUAUGCUUGAUUGAUGGAUCCUUGUAUCAUCAUUAGUGCUCUAUUUCAUGCAUUGCUGUAUUAAGUGGUAGCUAUUCAAUCCACUGGAUGAAGCUCCGUUCUUCAUAGAUUUGAGAACAUUAAGACUUGGAAAAUGCAAAUACACCAUAUCCCAUAAGUCUGCACUGUCUUCUUUAAAGAUAUACUAUUGGACUUUUGGUAUAAUUAAUUUUAGUAUCAUAUAUUCAUAUACACACUCACAUUUCUAAUCAAUGAUAUUACAGUUCCAAAACUGUGGAGGUUGUUAAGUUUGUUUAGUUCGUCACCGCUGCUUCAAGGACCACCUCCGCUAGCACGCCGUUGCAGCUGCUUCAAGGACCCGCUACGCCACCACCUCAGCCACCACACCGUCGCAGCUGCUAAGCACUUCACGUGAUGGCGACCAAGGCUGGACAAAAGAUACCACAAGGACCAGCAAUGCUGCUUCCGUAUGAAAAGUACCGCCUCGAACAAUGCAAGGCUCCGGCAAUUGGGUCUUCCUCCUUACAACCCCCAUGGUGCAAUAACACUGGCCAAUUCUAAAGACAAGAACAAGACACAGCAGAGAUACAGAAAAGAUGUUGACUAUGAUGCUUUGCAAGAUGACACCGGUGAACAAGAUUCAUUUGAUGAUGAAAUUGCAAAGGGAUCUAAGACCAGCAAGGUAACUAAGAAACAAACCUCAGAUGCGGCACCUAUUGGAGUCAAGUUUCGCACUCGCUCUCGUAAGAGGGUGUAUGCAGCUGCCACACCUACAACAGGUCCAUCAAACAGAAGCAUUUCCCAGCCUGACGCAAGUCUGUCACCAAGUGACAUCCAUGUGCCACCUUCAACACACUCUGCAGUCAACAAAACAGUCGGACCUGCUGAUCGAUGCUAGUUGUACUACCAUGUUUCUCCUUCUAUGACCAUUGAUUUCCCAAUGAAUGCACUCUUACUUCCUGCUAUUUUGUAGAUGAUGGAGUAGAUGCCAUUAUGCAAACUGAUGGUCACAACAACUUGGCCGCCAUAGAUGGUUUUGACUUGCAUGACGACAACAACACCAUGGCUGUUGGAGCUGAUGUCAUUGCCCCACCUGUUGGUGACAACCACAUCACCAAUGAAGAAUAGGAGCCAUGGAACCGAGGAGUUAAUAUGGGACAUGGUCUCAACGGGCUGAACAGAUCUCCUCGGGGCAAGCUGCCAAUUGUCAUACCUGAAGGGCAAAUCAGGCCCUCGGAACAUUUUAUUGUUGCAAAGUAUGCAACUGAAAUCAACAUUGCGGCCAGGAACCAUGUGCCUGUGCUCACGCAUUGGAAGUUGUACAAGGAUCGUCCUGCGGAGAUUGAGACUUUUUUGAGAAUACUUCGUGCAAAGUUCAACAUUGACACAAAUGAUGCUGUGGUUAAAAAUGGUUGCCUUGAAAUGAUGAAGUCUGCAGUUCGCCAACAGCGACACAAGCUGAAGAAAGAUUUUUUUGAUCCUUUUCCACUGCAUUUGGUUCCAAAAACUUCUCCAGUGAAAUCAACAACUAAUGAUGAAUGGAUUGCCCUUGUCGAAAUGUGGAAGAAUCCCAAAAAAUGGAGGCUUGUCAAAAGAACAAAGGUAACCGAGGCAAUGUUUUUUUACAUCAAACAACUGGCUCCCAUAGCUACCCGGUUUUUGCACAAAAUUUGAUAGAUCAGGAUGAGAAUAAAGAACAUGAUGCAUUUGAAUUGUUCCAAAUGUGCCACUUCAGCAAGAAAAAGGGCUACACACCUGCUGUACAAUCAGUUAUUACUGAAAUGAAAACCCAACUAGCUGCACAACCAACAGAAGGUGAACAACCAAAGUCUGUGCUUCAGGUUGUAGCUAAUGUGCUUGAGCGCAACAACAAGAAGAGUGUGUUCCUUCAGAAUGUGGGGAUGCAGACUAAGCAACCAAGGUUGAGUGCACAACUGGAAGCGGAGAAGAGGGAAAAUGCUAAGCUUCGAGAACAAAUGGAAGGCUUGAGCAAGAAGCAAGCUGAGUUGGAGGCUAAACUUGACCUUGCUCUGGGUCAAAAUCGACCGUGAUGAUAGGCACAAUGGUGCUGUUCUGGAACUUUUGCUGCCUUUGCUUCUAGAAUCAAACUGCUACAUAUACGUGCUGCAGGUCCUGCUGGUGUGGAACUUGAACAUACAAGUUGGUUGGUGCUUGGUGCUUGGACUUUUGCUGUUUUUGUGUUUGUGUCUGUAGCAAACCGUGGACAACAUGAUACCAAACCUUUUGUUGUGUGUUUAUUGAAUCUCAACUAUAUUUGUGGAACCCUUGUCUGAUUCUGGAAGCAGAGAUGAAAGAUGAAUGUGACUGUUGUUAUAUCUCUUUUGAAUGUAAACUUGAGAUUGAAUUAGUUAUUUUAAUUUGGGCUGGUAUAUUUGAUAUGUAUUUUGCGCUGUAAUGACCAUUUUAGUGUUACAAUAUUUGAGAAAUUGGGUUGUUAUAUCCUUGAGAAAUUUGAUUGAAAUCAAUUUUUAA